GAUGAACGCUGGCGGCGUGCCUAAUACAUGCAAGUCGAACGCUUUGUCUUUAAUUGAUAUGAAGAGCUUGCUCUGAUUUGAUUUUAUCUGACAAAGAGUGGCGAACGGGUGAGUAACACGUGGGUAACCUACCUCUUAGCAGGGGAUAACAUUUGGAAACAAGUGCUAAUACCGUAUAACACUAACAACCGCAUGGUUGUUAGUUGAAAGAUGGUUCUGCUAUCACUAAGAGAUGGACCCGCGGUGCAUUAGCUAGUUGGUAAGGUAAUGGCUUACCAAGGCGAUGAUGCGUAGCCGAGUUGAGAGACUGAUCGGCCACAAUGGGACUGAGACACGGCCCAUACUCCUACGGGAGGCAGCAGUAGGGAAUCUUCCACAAAGGGCGCAAGCCUGAUGGAGCAACGCCGCGUGUGUGAUGAAGGGGUUCGGCUCGUAAAACACUGUUAUAAGAGAAGAACGACAUUGAGAGUAACUGUUCAGUGUGUGACGGUAGCUUAUCAGAAAGGAACGGCUAAAUACGUG
rnacentral:rRNA from 1 species